UAAAGAGUCCUUUGGUAAUGUAAACAACCACCCUCUGACUUUGUUUGUUUUGAAUACUCCUAGUUUCACUUUCCUAUUUGCUUAAAGCACUGUAUAUCUGUAUAAACCCACCAGAGGAGAAACUGAUGUCCCCAAGGUUCUUCUUAAAAAGAGCCAGAACCCAAGCAUUAUGAUGCAAAUGCUUUCUGGAAGAUGCAACUGCUUGCAAGAUGAUUCUUCAAAUGGUAAAUCUAGGACAAAGCAGCCUGAUGCCAUUUCACACGUGUGGUCACAGCUCGUUGCUGGAGGAAUUCAGCGCGUCCUGCGUGACUCCACAGGGAGAGGACUCCAGAGACUUGUGCCUGUUUCUCCUAACUUUGCCCCGCACACCUUUUCCCUUUGCUGAUUUGGCACUGUAUCCUCUCAUAUAAUAAAUCUUAGUCGCAAGCACAA